GGAAUCUUAGACAAUGGGGGCAACCCUGAUCUAGCCAUGCCGCGUGAGUGAUGAAGGCCCUAGGGUCGUAAAGCUCUUUCGCCGGGGAAGAUAAUGACUGUACCCGGUAAAGAAACCCCGGCUAACUCCGUGCCAGCAGCCGCGGUAAUACGGAGGGGGCUAGCGUUGUUCGGAAUUACUGGGCGUAAAGCGCACGUAGGCGGCUUUGUAAGUUAGAGGUGAAAGCCCAGGGCUCAACCCUGGAAUUGCCUUUAAGACUGCAUCGCUUGAACAUCGGAGAGGUAAGUGGAAUUCCGAGUGUAGAGGUGAAAUUCGUAGAUAUUCGGAAGAACACCAGUGGCGAAGGCGACUUACUGGACGAUUGUUGACGCUGAGGUGCGAAAGCGUGGGGAGCAAAC
rnacentral:rRNA from 1 species